rnacentral:hammerhead_ribozyme from 33 species
GAACGCUCGCGAGAUGUGUGUCUCGCCUGAUGAGCCCGCCAAAGGCGGGCAAGUCCAAAAGGACGAAAGCGUGU